rnacentral:rRNA from 1 species
UACGGAGGGUGCAAGCGUUAUCCGGAUUUACUGGGUUUAAAGGGUGUGUAGGCGGACUUUUAAGUCAGGGGUGAAAUCCCGAGGCUCAACCUCGGAACUGCCUUUGAUACUAUUGGUCUUGAAUAUUGUGGAGGUGAGCGGAAUAUGUCAUGUAGCGGUGAAAUGCUUAGAUAUGACAUAGAACACCAAUUGCGAAGGCAGCUCGCUACACAUAUAUUGACUCUGAGGCACGAAAGCGUGGGGAUCAAACAGG